UAGCUUCUGCGAAGCUACGAAUCGAAGCCCCAGUAAACGGCGGCCGUAACUAUAACGGUCCUAAGGUAGCGAAAUUCCUUGUCGGGUAAGUUCCGACCCGCACGAAAGGCGUAACGAUUUGGGCACUGUCUCAACGAGAGACUCGGUGAAAUCAUAGUACCUGUGAAGAUGCAGGUUACCCGCGACAGGACGGAAAGACCCCGUGGAGCUUUACUGUAGCCUGAUAUUGAAAUUCGGCACAGCUUGUACAGGAUAGGUAGGAGCCUUUGAAACGUGAGCGCUAGCUUACGUGGAGGCGUUGGUGGGAUACUACCCUAGCUGUGUUGGCUUUCUAACCCGCACCACUUAUCGUGGUGGGAGACAGUGUCAGGCGGGCAGUUUGACUGGGGC
rnacentral:rRNA from 1 species